CGGGCUCCGGGGACCCCCAGGAUGAGGAGUGGGACCUGAUCGGGCACCUGGCCACGGCCUGCAGCGGGGUCCUGGAGGCCAUCGCCCGUGGGGGGCACCAACUCCGGGAGCUCCCCCAGCAGAGCCCGAGCCCGGCUGAGGAUGAGUCCCAGAGGCUCUCGGAGAAGGUGGCGCAGCUGGAAACGGCCCUGAAACGGCUGCAGGAGGACCCUCAGCAGCGGCUCCAGGGGCUCUGUGGUGGUGCCCGGCGGCUGCUGCGACCCCCGGGGACCCCCGAGAGCCCCCCCUGAACCCCCCUGACCCCCCCCAUCCAUCCCCGCGACCCCCAGACCCCCUCCCCUUGGGGAACCCACCCUGACCCCCCGGAGAUCCCCCCCAGGACCCCUUGAAACCCCCCCCAAGGACCCCCUGACAUCUCUCAGGACCCCCAGACCCCCGCCCACCUUGGGGACCCCCAGAGGUGUCCCCCAAACCCCCCCCCCCGAGGGCUGUGGGA